rnacentral:tRNA from 1 species
GGGAAUGUCGUAUAAUGGCUAAUACCUCAGCUUUCCAAGCUGAAGACGCGGGUUCGAUUCCCGUCAUUCCCUCCA